GGGCGGUUAGCUCAGUUGGCAGAGCGCUUGCCUUACACGCAAGUGGUCGGCGGUUCGAACCCGUCAUCGCCCA
rnacentral:tRNA from 1 species